rfam:Rhodnius prolixus Rhodnius_prolixus-3.0.3-28.18, whole genome shotgun sequence.
CAUCUUGCGCAGUGGCAAUAUCGUAACCAAUGAAGGUCUCCUGAGGUGCGAUUAUUGCUAGUUAAGAACUAUAUGUAUAAGCCUUCUACUUCAAGAAGAAGACUUGUUCCUACACAUUAUUAUUU